rfam:Myotis lucifugus cont2.64681, whole genome shotgun sequence.
GGCAGGUCUCUGGUGACGUACCCCAGAAUCGGGCUUCCUCCUCUCUGGUUCUGGAGUGCGUCACCCUAGAACCGCC